rnacentral:rRNA from 1 species
UGCCUGGCAGUGUCCUACUCUCGCAUGGGGAGACCCCACACUACCAUCGGCGCUACGGCGUUUCACUUCUGAGUUCGGCAUGGAGUCAGGUGGGUCCACCGCGCUA